rnacentral:rRNA from 1 species
UAAGAGAUUAGGCGUUCCCUUCGGGGACAGAAUGACAGGUGGUGCAUGGUUGUCGUCAGCUCGUGUCGUGAGAUGUUGGGUUAAGUCCCGCAACGAGCGCAACCCUUAUUGUUAGUUGCCAGCAUUCAGUUGGGCACUCUAGCAAGACUGCCGGUGACAAACCGGAGGAAGGUGGGGAUGACGUCAAAUCAUCAUGCCCCUUAUGACCUGGGCUACACACGUGCUACAAUGGACGGUACAACGAGUCGCGAAACCGCGAGGUCAAGCUAAUCUCUUAAAGCCGUUCUCAGUUCGGAUUGUAGGCUGCAACUCGCCUACAUGAAGUUGGAAUCGCUAGUAAUCGUGGAUCAGCAUGCCACGGUGAAUACGUUCCCGGGCCUUGUACACACCGCCCGUCACACCAUGAGAGUUUGUAACACCCAAAGCCGGUGAGGUAACCUUCGGGGACCAGCCGUCUAAGGUGGGACAGAUGAUUAGGGUGAAGUCGUAACAAGGUAGCCGUAGGAGAACCUGCGGCUGGAUCACCUCCUUUCUAAGGAA